GACAGCUACCUACGGAGACGUAGGGUUCCCUUCGGGGACUUGGACACAGGUGCUGCAUGGCUGUCGUCAGCUCGUGUCGUGAGAUGUUGGGUUAAGUCCCGCAACGAGCGCAACCCUCGCCCUUAGUUGCCAGCAUUCAGUUGGGCACUCUAAGGGGACUGCCGGUGAUAAGCCGAGAGGAAGGUGGGGAUGACGUCAAGUCCUCAUGGCCCUUACGGGCUGGGCUACACACGUGCUACAAUGGUGGUGACAGUGGGCAGCGAAGGGGUGACCCCGAGCUAAUCUCCAAAAGCCAUCUCAGUUCGGAUUGCACUCUGCAACUCGAGUGCAUGAAGUUGGAAUCGCUAGUAAUCGCGGAUCAGCACGCCGCGGUGAAUACGUUCCCGGGCCUUGUACACACCGCCCGUCACACCAUGGGAGUUGGUUUUACCCGAAGGUAGUGCGCUAACCGCAAGGAGGCAGCUAACCACGGUAGGGUCAGCGACUGGGGUGAAGUCGUAACAGGGUUAGCCCGUA
rnacentral:rRNA from 1 species